CUGGCCUAAUUCGAACGAUAUAAAAUGAGGACCGGAAUCUCAAUCUGGGCACUUGUUCCCCGCAUCUUCUGUCGAUUGCAAACAUUCAACAUGAAAUUCUUGAUUUUGAGCGUCUUCUUGGCCUGCGCCUCGGCCCAGUACGCCCCGUACAGCCAAUGGUCGCCGUACAAUCCCCAGUUUGUGAAUGACUUGUACUCGAAGAGCGUCGAUUUGAACAAGGACGGCCAACCUGACGUCCCAGUCUACUCCGCUGCUCCCGCAUUCCUGCCCAGCAGCUACUACCCUUACGCGGAUUUGGCUUCUCGCACUGGAUACCCUGCAUAUCCUUACGGCGCUCCCUUCACCUACCCGUUCGUCCAGGCCACCGCUUCCGUUGCCGCCAAGAGCACUCGCACUAAGCGCCAAGUGACUGUUCUUCCCCACAAACCAUCGGAAUUUCUCAACGAUUUCGUGUACAGCAGCGUCGAUUUGAACCAAGACGGACAGCCCGAUAACGCCGUAUUCAAACGCACCGUUGUCCCCUACACUGGCGCCCGAUUCACUCAUCCGUUCUACCCUGGAUUCUACCCGCACGCCUACCCGUUCAACAACAGAUUCUUUGCCUAAGCGUGUCACCAACAGUCCACAGAAACCAGCAUCCGAAUGAAGCGUUUUUAUCUCGUUUUUCUCCAAUCGAUUACUUUGCUGUUGUAAUUCUUCUUCUCGCGAAUACAAAUUGUGAUUGCA